rnacentral:siRNA from 1 species
UAAAUUAUCGUUGAUCCGGCCA